UACGGGGGGUGCGAGCGUUGUCCGGAAUCACUGGGCGUAAAGGGCGCGUAGGUGGUUUGAUAAGGGUGUGGUGAAAGUCCGGGGCUCAACCCCCGGAUCUGCCGUGCCGACUGUCAAACUCGAGGACUGUAGAGGCAGACGGAAUUCCGGGUGUAGCGGUCGGAAUGCGUAGAGAUCCGGAGGAAGACCGGUGGCGAAGGCCAGCCCCC
rnacentral:rRNA from 1 species